GAGCGCUUUUGGUUCUCUUCGUGCGGUGAAGUCGUGGGGAGCUGCUAUGGGAGCUGUAUGGUGUUUGCCGAGGGUGCUGCGGACCUUUCCCCGAAUUAAGGGAAGGCGGCACCCUGCGCCAUCUUUGCACAGCUGCCCGCGUGCAGGGCCCUGAUUUUGGAAGCCGGAUCUGCAGCUCCACGGGGGGGUUUAAGACGUCCACCAGUGUGUUACCCUUGAAUAAAGCAUGAGAGCUUUGGAAGCCCAGCCAGGGGCAGUGCCCCUUCACAGAAACUGAGGGCUAGCCUGGUGACUGAAGGCCUAAGGUUUGGAAUUCUUUUGGAGAAGUGCUGUUGGGAUGCCUAGGUAAUAGUUCCUGCCACUUCAACAGCAGGCUGUGACAAAAAGUGGAGAGCCACAUGCCUUCUACCCGGGUACUAUGGAUUUUGCUGGCAAAGGAUGUCCCCUAUCUGGUGUUGGACAGACCCUAGGAACCAUACAUCUUUCCUGCAGUAACCCUUGUAAGCAGCUGUCAGCUUACUGGAGGAGGAGAAACUGCCUAGAAAUUUUGGGGCACUUAAAUAUCAGACAGCCUUUAUUUUGUCUUAAGUACUUUAUCAAAAGGAUUCCAAUAAAAUAUUUUAAAGCAAAUAAAAAA